GCCACGGUGGGAUUCGAACCUACGACCUUUGGAAUACUAGCCCAAUGCUCUUCCAACUGUCCUGACCGCGUAGCUCAGUUGGAAGAGCAUUGGGCUAGUAUUCCAAAGGUCGUAGGUUCGAAUCCCACCGUGGCCGGGCAUAUUUUUCAAGCUCGCCCGGUGUGGAUAUGCACUCAGAGUAACAUCGCAAACAUAUUAUUCACCUGAGUACACAACACCAACACAGAAAAAAAAAUCAUAUUACAAGAACACAUUGGUAUUGAAGGAACUAGAUACUGUUCCGAAAUAUCACUUACUCGAACCGUCCUGACCGCGUAGCUCAGUUGGAAGAGCAUUGGGAUAGUAUUCCAAAGGUCGUAGGUUCGAAUCCCACCGUGGCCGGGCAUAUUUUUCAAGCUCGCCCGGUGUGGAUAUACACUCAGAGUAACACCACAAAUAUCAUAUUCACCUGAGUACACUACACCAACACAGAAAAAAUUCAUAUUACUAGAAAACAUUGGUAUUGAAGGAACUAGAUUCUGUUCCGAAAUAUCACUUACUCGAACCGUCCUGACCGCGUAGCUCAGUUGGAAGAGCAUUGGGCUAGCAUUCCAAAGGUCGUAGGUUCGAAUCCCACCGUGGCCGGGCAUAUUUUUCAAGCUCGCCCGGUGUGGAUAUGCACUCAGAGUAACAUCACAAACAUAUUAUCCACCUGAGUACACAACACCAGCACAGAAAAAUUCAUAUUACAAGAACACAUUGGUACUGAAGGAACUAGAUACUGUUCCGAAAUAUCACUUACUCGAACCGUCCUGACCGCGCAGCUCAGUUGGAAGAGCAUUGGGCUAGUAUUCCAAAGGUCGUAGGUUCGAAUCCCACCGUGGCCGGGCAUAUUUUUCAAGCUCGCCUGGUGUGGAUAUGCACUCAGAGUAACAUCACAAACAUAUUAUUCACCUGAGUACACAACACCAGCACAGAAAAAAUUCAUAUUACAAGAACACAUUGGUAUUGAAGGAACUAGAUACUGUUCCGAGAUAUCACUUACUCGAACCGUCCUGACCGCGUAGCUCAGUUGGAAGAGCAUUGGGCUAGUAUUCCAAAGGUCGUAGGUUCGAAUCCCACCGUGGCCGGGCAUAUUUUUCAAGCUCGCCCGGUGUGGAUAUGCACUCAGAGUAACAUCGCAAACAUAUUAUUCACUUGAGUACACAACACCAACACAGAAAAAAAUUCAUAUUACAAGAACACAUUGGUAUUGAAGGAACUAGAUACUGUUCCGAAAUAUCACUUACUCGAACCGUCCUGACCGCGUAGCUCAGUUGGAAGAGCAUUGGGAUAGUAUUCCAAAGGUCGUAGGUUCGAAUCCCACCGUGG